AGAUAGAAAGUGAGAGACAGAAGAAAGUGGAGGAUGAACUUAAUCAAAGUUCAGGAAGCCCUUCAUGUUACAACACAAGUUUUCCUUGGUGUCCCUAAAGAAUUUGGACUUCUCACACUAUUUUCUGAAUGAAAGCUUUUCCCUAGGCACACUCUGAAUGACAAGAAGGAUGCACAGAGAGGCGAGGCUGCCAUUACAAGAUGUUUCUCUAACCUGGAGGUGAAGACAGUCUGAAGAUGCACAGCAGAGGCCUUUAAACCAGCCUGGAGCCAACAGAGAAUGUCAAGGACAGUCUGAGAGUUGUUCAGCUACAAUGCCAGCCCUGCUUUGAUGUCUGAUAAAAUUUGGUUUCCAGGGCUGCAGAAAGAACUGUGGCCAAUAUCUGAAUUUCA